rnacentral:rRNA from 1 species
UGGGGGAUAUUGCACAAUGGGCGAAAGCCUGAUGCAGCGACGCCGCGUGGGGGAUGAAGGCCUUCGGGUUGUAAACUUCUUUUGCUCUGAACAAGGCAUGCUAAUGGGUGUGUUGAGUGUAGGGGUUAAUUAGCGCCGGCUAACUACGUGCCAGCAGCCGCGGUAAUACGUAGGGCGCGAGCGUUGUCCGGAAUUAUUGGGCGUAAAGGGCUUGUAGGUGGCUGGUUGCGUCUGUCGUGAAAGCUCAUGGCUUAACUGUGGGUUUGCGGUGGGUACGGGCUGGCUUGAGUGCAGUAGGGGAGGCUGGAAUUCCUGGUGUAGCGGUGGAAUGCGCAGAUAUCAGGAGGAAUACCGGUGGCGAAGGCGGGUCUCUGGGCUGUUACUGACACUGAGGAGCGAAAGCAUGGGGAGCGAACAGG